UUGAUCAUGGCUCAGAUUGAACGCUGGCGGCAGGCCUAACACAUGCAAGUCGAGCGGCAGCACAGAGAAACUUGUUUCUCGGGUGGCGAGCGGCGGACGGGUGAGUAAUGCCUGGGAAAUUGCCCUGAUGUGGGGGAUAACCAUUGGAAACGAUGGCUAAUACCGCAUGAUGCCUACGGGCCAAAGAGGGGGACCUUCGGGCCUCUCGCGUCAGGAUAUGCCCAGGUGGGAUUAGCUAGUUGGUGAGGUAAGGGCUCACCAAGGCGACGAUCCCUAGCUGGUCUGAGAGGAUGAUCAGCCACACUGGAACUGAGACACGGUCCAGACUCCUACGGGAGGCAGCAGUGGGGAAUAUUGCACAAUGGGCGCAAGCCUGAUGCAGCCAUGCCGCGUGUGUGAAGAAGGCCUUCGGGUUGUAAAGCACUUUCAGUUGUGAGGAAGGUGGUGUCGUUAAUAGCGGCAUCAUUUGACGUUAGCAACAGAAGAAGCACCGGCUAACUCCGUGCCAGCAGCCGCGGUAAUACGGAGGGUGCGAGCGUUAAUCGGAAUUACUGGGCGUAAAGCGCAUGCAGGUGGUUUGUUAAGUCAGAUGUGAAAGCCCGGGGCUCAACCUCGGAACUGCAUU
rnacentral:rRNA from 1 species